GCCGCCGGCCAGGAGGGACGGGACCGCGUCGAAGGCCGGACGUGUGGGAGCACACGGAGGCGCCCAGCCCCAGACAGCGAGAGUGCCCGCCGAAAAAGCCCGAACGCGACUCGGACUGCCAAAGACGCGGGUCCUUCCCACCGCCGAGGGCCCGGGCGCGUCCCCCCGCCCUUCCCGGCAGCCGCCUGCGCUCCCCCGGCGCCGCGGCGCGAACAAAGGCCGGCGGGCUCGCGGCGCUCCCCCUGGCGGCGGCUCCUCCCGCGGCCCGGCGCGGCCUUCCAGGGCUUUCUCUGCCGCUCCGAGGACGCCGCGGCGACCCCCGCCGCCCAGACGUGCGCCGGGCGCUGCGUUUUCGCUCGCCGCCCUCCCAGACGGUGCCCGUUCUGACGUACUUGUAAUCCAGUCAGAAAAGAAGCCAUUCACGAGCCCACAUAGUUUCCUCAGUGAGACAAAGAAAUAUUUAUGAUAUGCUGAAACAGCUGAAGAAGCGUUCAGUUCAAAGCUUCAGAGGGAGGAAACAGAAACAGGAGAAACAGGAGACAAGAGAGCUCUUGGCUACAGGACUGCAAACGACACCCUAAAACGUGAAGCUGCAAACCUUGGUGAUUUAAAUGCGGGCUGCCAGGCAAAUUGCAGUGACAUAAAUUUGGCCCAUGUGUUUUGCAUCGUGUGAAUAUGAAACAGGGGAAGCCAUGGAGCCGAGUUUUGUUGGCAUUGGACUCAGGAGGUUUGGUGGGCACUUUUCAGACAUGCUGCCCACAGCAAGGUCACAUCUCAAAUAUGAACGUCACCCAGAGGUUACCCAGGUGAUCCUAGGCCAUCCUGAGCAUGCAGCUGUGCAGGGCUUGACCUUGAAGGACAGAUGGCAUCAGGGGGAAUUCUUUUAUACCUUGUAUUGGCCAGGGCUCAGCUUCUGACAUUUCUGUCUACAGACGACAAAAGGCUUUCAUUGUAAGCUGCUUUCUGAUGCGUGCUUAAAACCAAGUUGAACACAUUAAAAGGGAGAAGAAGCAGAAA